AUUAUUUUAACUCUUCCUUUGUCUUCUCAAAGACUUUUUGGGGGUUUAGCUCAGUUGGUUUAGAGCAUCGGCUUUGCAAGCCGGGGGUCAAGGGUUCGAGUCCCUUAACCUCCAUUUGUUUAUUGCAAAAAUGAAUGGAGGUUGUGCCUUCUAAAUAUCAGCUUGAGCUUUAUCAAUUUAAAUUGUCUUUAAUAAUUAAAAAUAAUCUAAUUGAAAUUUUGAUGUCCAGAUAAAACAUUUCUUUUUUAAAAGUUUUUCUUAAGUUUAAUAAUUUAUUAGGUCAAGAGAUUGCAUCUAUAGGAUAGAUUAUAAAAAAUAACGAUAUGUUAUCCAUGUUAUUUUUAAGUUAUCUUAUUUAGAUUAAUUUAAGUUUUUGUGGCUUGUAGGAAAUAAUAUUACUUUGCGUAAAGUUUAAUAUGUUUGAUGUUUGUGUCUAUCUUUAAUGAAUCA
rnacentral:tRNA from 1 species